GGCCCAUUAGCUCAGUUGGUUAGAGCGUCGUGUGUAAUAACACAAAGGUCGCAGGUUCAAGUCCUGCAUGGGCAA